rnacentral:rRNA from 1 species
GAUGAACGCUGGCGGCGUGCCUAAUACAUGCAAGUCGAGCGAAUGGAUUAAGAGCUUGCUCUUAUGAAGUUAGCGGCGGACGGGUGAGUAACACGUGGGUAACCUGCCCAUAAGACUGGGAUAACUCCGGGAAACCGGGGCUAAUACCGGAUAACAUUUUGAACCGCAUGGUUCGAAAUUGAAAGGCGGCUUCGGCUGUCACUUAUGGACGGACCCGCGUCGCAUUAGCUAGUUGGUGAGGUAACGGCUCACCAAGGCAACGAUGCGUAGCCGACCGUAGAGGGUGCUCGGCCACACUGGGACUGAGACACGGCCCAGACUCCUACGGGAGGCAGCAGUAGGGAAGCGUCCGCAAUGGACGAAAGUCUGACGGAGCAACGCCGCGUGAGUGAUGAAGGCUUUCGGGUCGUAAAACUCUGUUGUUAGGGAAGAACAAGUGCUAGUUGAAUAAGCUGGCACCUUGACGGUUCCUAACCAGAAAGCCACGGCUAACUACGUGCCAGCCGCCGCAGUAA